rnacentral:tRNA from 1 species
UAGCUUAAUUGGUAAAGCACUCAUCUAGCGUACGAGAGUCGUGGGUUCGAAUCCCAC